rnacentral:rRNA from 1 species
UUGACCUCGGAUCAGGUAGGYGAAUACCCCUGAACUUAA